GCUUGCUUUGGCAAUGCAUAUACUAAAAUUGCAACAAUACAGAUAAGAUUAGCAUGUCCCUGUGCAAGAAUAAAACACAAGUUUGUGAAGCAUUCCAUAUUUUU
ensembl:snRNA U6 U6 spliceosomal RNA